rnacentral:rRNA from 1 species
GACAGAGGUGCCGAGCGUUAGGCGGAAUCACUGGGCUUAAAGCGUGUGUAGGCGGACUUCUAAGUACCUUGUGAAAUCCCACGGCUCAACCGUGGAACUGCUUGGUAUACUGGUUGUCUUGAGCCACUUAGGGGCAGUCGGAACAGACGGUGGAGCGGUGAAAUGCGUAGAUAUCGUCUGGAACGCCAAAGGUGAAAACAGACUGCUGGGACGGUACUGACGCUGAGACGCGAAAGCGUGGGGAGCAAACAGG